AGAAGAACAACAACAAAUUCAAAUCACAAGAUUAGCAGCAACUUUUAAGUUCCAGAGACGUUCCU
rnacentral:sRNA from 1 species